AGGAUCUAGAAGCAAAUUAUAAAGAAGAGGGCUACACGACGGAGAGAGCAGCAAGCGUGCUAACAUUUCUGAAUACACUUAGGACGCUGCUGACUGCAUCUCUUGGAAGGAAAAGAAGAAGCAGGGCAAAGCAUGGCAGUGCUUAAAAGAACAAAGCAGAAGUGGCAUCGAUGGGAUCAGAGAAACUUUACUCACAAGUGUCUAAGUGAAAAGAAACUGAAGGAGACAAAACCAGAGGCCAACAUCCACCCAAUUUUCGCAGUAACUACAAGAGAACUACAAAUGGCUCACGUUGCUUACCGAGCACACACAUCAGCAACGGUGAAGGCCCGCAGGCAGGUGCCUGGGUAACCUGGGACGCACGCUAUUCCAAGUAAAGCUGCCUUUCACUGUUUAU
rnacentral:lncRNA from 1 species